rnacentral:lncRNA from 1 species
CAGACUCCAUCUCUACAGAAGGAUAUUAUUGUAAGUUUACUGUAUAAUACUAUCUAAUCUAUUUGGUUUAAGAAACAUAUUCUGCUAAUGACACAUGUGGGAAACUCUCAUCUGAAUUUCAGAAGCUUAAAAUGGAGACAAAAACUUGAAGGCAAAUAGUAAUGAAAAGAAGAGAGAAGGUUGCAAGCAUAGGUAUGGCUGAGCUCUGUGGUGGAGGAGUAGUAACACUAACACCUGUUCCAGUUAAGGAUGAUGGAGCUUCAGCUGGAGCUUUCCCUGUUACAGAAGAAGAGGUUGUAUCUGUGACUUUAAUCCUUAGCUUUUGUCCACUAGUACAAUGUCCUGAUAAGGUGCAUGUAAAGUAGAAAUCCCCAAUGCGAUCAAGGUUUAUUUUGGUUGGUCCUUUGUUAAAGAUUUGGGUAUUGUCAUUCAUGUUACACUUUUCAUAGUUAGACUUGUUAACUAUAACCACACUGUGGCUUCCAGAUUCGAACUUGAACACUACAAUACAAAAGCAGGGUACUAAUUAUACAAAUAACUUAUAGUAUAGUAUGAGAAUAAUGUUAGAGUACUAUGAUACUAUUAUUUAAAAAAUGAAUAAUUUGUGAUUAACUACCUAGAUUGUCGUUUAACUUGAAUGUAAAAUUUGCAGCCCAUUUGGAAUAGAAAGAAGAACCACCUGGAGGAAAACUAGUCCAACCUAUGAAAUCUCCUCCUACCUUGUAAUCUUCAGCUUCUGAGGUUUGUAUUGU